AACGAACGCUGGCGGCAGGCCUAACACAUGCAAGUCGAGCGCCCAGCAAUGGGAGCGGCAGACGGGUGAGUAACACGUGGGAACCUUCCCUAUAGUACGGAAUAGCCCAGGGAAACUUGGAGUAAUACCGCAUACGCCCGAGAGGGGAAAGAUUUAUCGCUAUAGGAUGGGCCCGCGUAGGAUUAGCUAGUUGGUGAGGUAAUGGCUCACCAAGGCGACGAUCCUUAGCUGGUCUGAGAGGACGACCAGCCACACUGGACUGAGACACGGCCCAGACUCCUACGGGAGGCAGCAGUGGGAUAUUGGACAAUGGGCGCAAGGCCUGAUCCAGCCAUGCCGUGUGAGUGAUGAA
rnacentral:rRNA from 1 species